rnacentral:rRNA from 1 species
AGUGAACGCUGGCGGCGUGCCUAAUACAUGCAAGUCGAACGAAGUGGGGACGGGUGAGUAAAACGUGGGUAACCUCCCAUCAGAGGGGAUAACACUUGGAAACAGGUGCUAAACCGAUACUGAUGGAUGGACCCGUGGUGCAGUAGCUAGUUGGUGAGGUAGCGGCGCACCAGGGCCACGAUGGAUAGGCGGGCUGGGAGGGUGAUGGGCCAGACUGGCACGGAGAGACGGCCCAGACUCCUACGGGAGGCAGCAGUAGGGGAUCUUCGGGAAUGGACGAAAUGCUGACCGAGCAACGCCGCGUGAGUGAAGAGGGGGUUCGGAUCGUAAAACUCUGUUGUUAGAGAAGCGGUAUCUAACCAGAAAGCCACGGCUAACUACGUGCCAGCAGCCGCGGUAAUUC